rnacentral:rRNA from 1 species
UACGUAGGGUGCAAGCGUUUAAUCGGAAUUACUGGGCGUAAAGCGUGCGCAGGCGGCUUUGCAAGACAGAUGUGAAAUCCCCGGGCUUAACCUGGGAGCUGCAUUUGUGACUGCAUGGCUGGAGUGCGGCAGAGGGGGAUGGAAUUCCGCGUGUAGCAGUGAAAUGCGUAGAUAUCAGGAGGAAUACCGAUGGCGAAGGCAGGUCUCUGGGCUGAUACUGACGCUCAUGCACGAAAGCGUGGGGAGCAAACAGGAUUAGAGU